UACGGGGGGGGCAAGCGUUGUUCGGAAUUACUGGGCGUAAAGGGCUCGUAGGCGGCCAACUAAGUCAGACGUGAAAUCCCUCGGCUUAACCGGGGAACUGCGUCUGAUACUGGAUGGCUUGAGUUUGGGAGAGGGAUGCGGAAUUCCAGGUGUAGCGGUGAAAUGCGUAGAUAUCCGGAGGAACACCAGUGGCGAAGGCGACACGCUGGGCCGUACCUGACGCUAAAGCGCGACAGCAUGGGGAGCAAACGGG
rnacentral:rRNA from 1 species